rnacentral:rRNA from 1 species
AACGAACGCUGGCGGCAGGCCUAACACAUGCAAGUCGAGCGCCCCGCAAGGGGUGCGGCGGACGGGUGAGUAACGCGUGGGAAUAUGCCUUUUGCUACGGAAUAGUUGAGGGAAACUGGGGGUAAUACCGAAUACGCACGUUGGGGGAAAGAUUUAUUGGCGAUGGAUUGGCCCGCGUUGGAUUAGGUAGUUGGUGGGGUAAUGGCCUACCAAGCCGACGAUCCAUAGCUGGUUUGAGAGGAUGAUCAGCCACACUGGGACUGAGACACGGCCCAGACUCCUACGGGAGGCAGCAGUGGGGAAUCUUGGACAAUGGGGGCAAGCCUGAUCUAGCCAUGCCGCGUGAGUGAUGAAGGCCUUAGGGUUGUAAAGCUCUUUCGUCUGGGAAGAUAAUGACGGUACCAGCAGAAGAAGCCCCGGCUAACUCCGUG